UACAGAGGGUGCAAGCGUUAAUCGGAAUUACUGGGCGUAAAGCGUGCGUAGACGGUUACGUAAGUCAGAUGUGAAAGCCCCGGGCUCAACCUGGGAAAUUGGCAUUUGAGACUGCGUAGCUAGGGUGCGGAAGAGGGAAGCGGAAUUCCGGUGUAGCGGUGAAAUGCGUAGAUAUCGGGAAGGAACACCAGUGGCGAAAGCGGACUCCUGGUCCAGCACCGACGUCAGGCACGAAAGCGUGGGGAGCAAACAG
rnacentral:rRNA from 1 species